GAUGAAGAACGUAGCGAAAUGCGAUACGUAAUGUGAAUUGCAGAAUUCAGUGAAUCAUCGAAUCUUUGAACGCAUAUUGCGCUCUUUGGUAUUCCGAAGAGCAUGCUUGUUUGAGUAUCAGUAAACACCUCAAAAGACUUUCAUUUUUGAAAUGAUUUUGGACUUGAGCAAUCCCAACACCAGUCUUCACGGAUCGGCGGAGGGUUGCUUGAAAUGCAGGUGCAGCUGGACAUUCUCCUGAGCUAAAAGCAUAUCUAUUUAGUCCCGUCAAACGGAUUAUUACUUUUGCUGCAGCUAACAUAAAGGGAGUUUGACCAUUUUGGCUGACUGAUGCAGGAUUUCACAAGGGUCGGUAAAACGAUUUUUGUAAAACUCGAUCUCAAAUCAAGUAAGACUACCCGCUGAACUUAAGCAUAUCAAUAAGCGGAGGA
rnacentral:misc_RNA from 1 species